UGAGUGGCGGACGGGUGAGUAACGCGUGGGUAACCUGCCCUGUACAGGGGGACAACAGUUAGAAAUGACUGCUAAUACCGCAUAAGCGCACAGGACCGCAUGGUCCGGUGUGAAAAACUCCGGUGGUACAGGAUGGACCCGCGUCUGAUUAGGUAGUUGGCGGGGUAACGGCCCACCAAGCCGACGAUCAGUAGCCGACCUGAGAGGGUGACCGGCCACAUUGGGACUGAGACACGGCCCAAACUCCUACGGGAGGCAGCAG
rnacentral:rRNA from 1 species